AAUUCGAUUAGUUUGAUCAUGGCUCAGGACGAACGCUGGCGGCGUGCUUAACACAUGCAAGUCAAGGGGGCCCAGCAAUGGGCAACCGGCGAACGGGUGCGUAACACGUGAGCAACCUACCGAAAUGCGGGGGAUAGCCGGCCUAACGGCCGAGUAAUACCGCAUACGCUCUCUAUGAGGCAUUUCAUGGGGAGGAAACCUACGGGGUAUUUCGAGGGGCUCGCGGCCUAUCAGCUAGUUGGCGAGGUAACGGCUCACCAAGGCAACGACGGGUAGCUGGUCUGAGAGGAUGGCCAGCCACAUUGGGACUGAGAUACGGCCCAGACUCCUACGGGAGGCAGCAGUGGGGAAUCUUGCGCAAUGGCCUAACGGCUGACGCAGCGACGCCGCGUGUGGGAUGAAGCUCCUCGGAGUGUAAACCACUGUUGCCCGGGACGAAUAGCUCGAUUAAUCGAGCCUGACGGUACCGGGUGAGGAAGCACCGGCUAACUCCGUGCCAGCAGCCGCGGUAAUACGGGGGGUGCGAGCGUUGUCCGGAAUCACUGGGCGUAAAGGGCGCGUAGGUGGUUUGAUAAGGGUGUGGUGAAAGUCCGGGGCUCAACCCCGGGUCUGCCGUGCCGACUGUCAAACUCGAGGACUGUAGAGGCAGACGGAAUUCCGGGUGUAGCGGUG
rnacentral:rRNA from 1 species